rnacentral:rRNA from 1 species
UACGUAGGGUGCAAGCGUUGUCCGGAAUUAUUGGGCGUAAAGAGCUCGUAGGCGGUUUGUCGCGUCUGCUGUGAAAACCCGAGGCUCAACCUCGGGCCUGCAGUGGGUACGGGCGGACUAGAGUGCGGUAGGGGAGAUUGGAAUCCCUGGUGUAGCGGUGGAAUGCGCAGAUAUCAGGAGGAACACCGAUGGCGAAGGCAGUGGUCUGGGCCGAUACUGACGCUGAGGAGCGAAAGCGUGGGGAGCGAACAGG